AGGGCUGCGUUGAUUGGCUGAGCCGUCUGGCCACGUGACGCACCGCCCUGGCCCGGCCGCAGGGGGCGUGGGCUGUGGACUCGCUCCAGGUUGCGGCGCAGGCCGGCUUGGCUGAGAAGAGUUGAUCUCCCUCCCAGGAGGGUGAGACGGGCUCCUGACCUCACCUGGCUUCUCUGAAGUUGCUUGUCCGUCUUGCGGUCAUUGGCGAGGCGGAGUCAUGCUUCCACACUCAGAACGGAUUGGAAUAAAAACUGACCUUUUUCAGUCCUGUGGCCACUGCUGAGUUUUCGAAAUUUGCUGGCAUAUUGAGUGCAGCACUUAAUGUCAUCUUGAGGAUUUAAAAUAGCUCAGCUGGAAUUCCUUCACCUCCACUAACUUUGUUCUUAGUGAUGCUUCCUAAGGCCCAUUGACUUCACACUCUAGGAUGUCUGGCUCUAGGUGAAUUCUUCACUGAUGAACUACCACAGAAGCCCCAGGAUCAACAGGGAUAAUUGAUAAAAAAAGUACUUCAAAUAUAAGGAUGGCUCCUGUCUACCUCACCUUGUUUUGAACCAUUAUGGAGGCUUCUUUGGGAUCCUUCUGAUCUACUCUCAAGAUCUACUGUCAGAGAAUCUGUCCUUCCCACUUCUCUGUGCCUACCCUAUUCCGUGGAUGUGAGAGUUGGACCAUAAAGCUGAGCACCAAAGAAUUGAUGCUUUUGAACUGUGGUGUUGGAGAAGACUCUUGAGAGUCCCUUGGAUGCAAGGAGAUCCAACCAGUCCAUCCUAAAGGAAAUCAGUCCUGACUAUUCAUUGGAAGGAGUGAUGCUGAAGCUGAAACUCCAAUACUUUGCCCACCCGAUGGGAAGAACUGACUUAAUGGAAAAGACCCUGAUGCUGGGAAAGAUUGAAGGUGGGAGGAGAAGGGGAUGACAGAAGAUGAGAUGGUUCAAUGGCAUCACCGACUCAAUGGACAUGAGUUUGAGUAAGCUUCUGGAGUUGGUGAUGGACAGGUAAAGAAGGAACUGGCCAAUGUAACAUGGUGUUGCUGCUGCUGCUAAGUCGCUUCAGAUGUGUCCAACUCUGACAGAUGGCAGUCCACUAGACUCCUCUGUCCCUGGGAUUCUCCAGGCAAGAACAUGGUGUUGAUAGUGAGGUAAAUGGGAGAGCUUAUUACAAAAUAUGGAGGAGAGUUCCCCGUGCUCUACGGCAGGACCUUGUUGAUGAUGAUUUUAAAUACAACAUUGUGGACUUGUCAAUUCCAAACUCCCAAUCUGUGCCUCACUCUUCAGACUUACUCCA